CGUCGGUCAGCUCUGACUUGGAAGUUGGACAGGGUUUGCCACAGCGUAUUACACACCCCAUCCAACAGCCCUCUCCCACAGCCCUCCCGGCACCGAAAGCAGCAUCCACAGAACAGGUGGAAAUUUCUCCUGGAUCUAACGUAUUCAUUGACAGACUGGCUUGGGCAGUGGCACAGAAUGCGAACUCUGCCUCCUGUUUUGUGAGAACACUCCUGACAGCAGUGUUCCCAAUUGAUGUGCUCCUCGUGAGCAAUCUUCGAGGAACAUCCAAGGAUUCUGGACCACAACGUCAGGCUCUUGACAAAAUAAAAGUGGAUGCUAUCUACAGAGCAACAUUGCAAAAGUGGCCUCACGUGGUGCCCUCCAGCAUUGGUGCAGCCAUCAAUGCCAAAUUAACAGAAAUAAGAGGAAAGAAAAAAACACAAAAACAUUCGGAAACCUUGAUGCUCUUUGAUAACUGAUGGCUAUGACAGUGUGUAUUUACUGUUGUAUCAACU